AUCCGCUGAUGAUCCAGCCAUGCUAAUACCGAUACAACAGGUCUUCCUGUGUGUAUAUGAGUUCAAUUGAACUUCUCACAUGUGAGUGCUCUGAGGAUA